rnacentral:rRNA from 1 species
GGGAUGAACGCUGGCGGCGUGCUUAACACAUGCAAGUCGAACGAUGAAAGCCGGAGCUUGCUCUGGCUGGAUUAGUGGCGAACGGGUGAGUAACACGUGAGUAACCUGCCCUUGACUCUGGGAUAAGCACUGGAAACGGUGUCUAAUACCGGAUACGAGCUUCAGCCGCAUGGCUAGGAGCUGGAAAGAAUUUCGGUCAAGGAUGGACUCGCGGCCUAUCAGGUAGUUGGUGAGGUAAAGGCUCACCAAGCCGACGACGGGUA